rnacentral:tRNA from 2 species
GCCGGCUUAGCUCAUCGGGUAGAGCGCUUGACUUGUAAUCAUGAGGUGGCGGGUUCGAGUCCUGCAGCCGGCA